AUGCUUGCUUCGACAGUACGACAGUACCAAAAUUGAAAUGAUACAGAAAAGAUUAGCAUGGCCUCUGCAGAAAGACAACAUGCAAACUAUUCCAUGUUUUU
ensembl:snRNA U6 U6 spliceosomal RNA